ensembl:lncRNA
GUUCCCACAGCAUUUCAACCAGGUUGAGUUCAGAACUUUGACUGAGCCAUUGGAAUAGCCAUUUUUCAGCCGUUCUGUUCUACAUUUGCUGCUGCUGUGUGUGUGAUCAUUGUCCUCUUUAAUGACUCAGUUUCGGCUCAUCUUGAGCUGUCAGACAGAGCCUCAUAUUUGACUCUAGAAUGCUUUGAUAUUCAGAGGAGUUUAUGGUCAACUCAAUGACUGAGAGAUGUUCCAGUGACAUGAUUUGAAAAAAAGAUUCCCAAUUAUCCCCCCACCACAACUGACAGCUGGUAUGAGGUGUUUGCUGAUAUGCUGUAAUUGUUUUUCAUCAAAUUUGGUGCUGUGAAUUAUAGACAAGCUGUCAAGGUCCAGAGGCAGGUGACUCCGUGGUUAGGUUUUGUUUAUUCUUUUUUUUAUUCUUUGUCAUGGUUUUGGCUUUUGUAUUUCCUGUUUUUUAGUUAUUCUUUUGCACCUCAGGGAUUUUCUAGCCUUUAGGUUUUGUCUUUGUGCCUAUGUUGUGUUCCUUGUGUCGUGUUGUGUGUUCGCCUCAUUUACUGUUUUAUUUGGACAAUCCCAUGUCAGUGUGUCUAAAUUUGCUUCCCCUUGUCUCGUUAUGUCUAAUUAAUCCCGGCUGUGUCUCCUUCCUGUUUCCCAUUCCCUCAUUACUCCUCCAUAUAUUUAAACCCUGUGUUUUCCUUUGCCCUUUGUCGUGUUGUACCUUCCUAUGUGUUUAAGGCUCCCUGCGUUUCUAGUUUCCAUUUUUCUAAGUUUAGGUUGUUUUUUGAGCCUAUGUUUGUGGAGAAUUUUUCCAGCAAUAAAGCCUUAAGUUCAUCUUUUGUGUUUAAGUUCUGCAUUUGGGUCCACCUCCUUUUUGCUGGCCACAGCUUCACAUGACACAAGCAUCUCCACUUUGAUCUCUUCUGUUCACCGGACAUUGAUCCAGAGGUCUUGUGGCUUGUUUGCAUGUAAUGUUGAAAAUCCAAGCCAUACUGAGAUGUCCUGAGAGAAAGACUUUCUCCUGGCAGUCCUAAACAAGCCAUACUUGUGUUUUGCAUUUCCUCUGAGCAUUGCACAGUCUAUUUACUCCUGGAAAAGACUGGUAACUGUCUUGAUUGUUUUCACUUGUGAAUAAUCUUUCUCACAGUAGAAUGAUGGAUGCCAGCUUGUUUGGAAUUAGACUUUUAGCCUUUACCAGAUUGAUGGC